rnacentral:lncRNA from 1 species
AUUUUAUAAUAUAAUAUUAUGCAAUGUUUAUAUGGCAUUUCUGCUUUCUACAUCGCCCUCCAGCCCAAAGUCAAAAGUGUUUUCUUUAGUCCCCUUUGAAGCCACUAGAAUCAAAGUUCAGUGGUUAUGUACUUUACAUUCUAAGGAUUAGCAGUUCCCUGGCUUCUUAGAAUCCAAAUUGCCUCAAAUUAUCACUUUUCUGAAAACCACUUCUACUGUUGAUGCUCUUUCAUCCCAGCCUGCUCCCAGAUUUCUCUUGAAGUCCUUUUAGUUUCUCCACGGUUCAUGCCAAACGUCUCUCAAGGACUCCACUGAGGUUCCUGGAGAGGCCAAGCUGAGGGAGGCCUCCCCCUUCCCUGCACUCUGGGGCUUCACUCUAUUGUCUCUGCUCCCUCCGUAGCUUCCCCAGUUCCACAGCCAACGAGGGUCCUGGAAUAACUAUUGAGGAUAACUAUUUCUCCUUCAACCCCAGUGAAAUCCCACUCCAGGCACUUCCAGUCAACAAAAGCCAGGAGUUACUCUCAGGCUUCCAGAUGGAUCUUGACCAAGAAAGAAACAGAGUCUCUCUAUGUCCCAGCACUCAGCCAUGUGCUCUGAAGGUAAAAGGUUCCCCUCCAACCAGAGCCUCAGAAAGGACUGGGGAAGUAAAGAGCUAAGAGGAGGAAUAAAAAAAGAUUAUUCGAAGAGGAAAGACUUAGAAAUUAGAUGAUGGUUGAAAGCCACCACCUAAUUUAAUGAUGGGCUCCAUGUUGGGAGAUCCACUGUGUCUUCCACAAUGGCAGAUGUUGACCCUGGCAGGUCCCGUGCUAAGCACCGAGGAAAGACAAGGUGAGAAGGAUGGGACUCCCUGUCCACAAGGAGAGUCAAGCCUACAGCUAAGACUGAAUGGCAGUGAAUACAGAGCAGGGCAACAGUUAGUAGAACAGGGUGAGAGGGCACGUGCUAGGGAGCCUGAGUGGGAGAACAGCCAUCUCCAUGUGGAGCAUGAGAAAAAUGUCCAUGAAGGAGGCUGAAUUCGAACUUGCCUUCAGAAAAAGAACAGUUGAUUAGAGAGAAAAUUGGGGAGAGCAUCCCUGGCAGAAGGGACUUCACUAGAGGACUGUGGAAAGGAGGAAGCACAGUGCAUA